rnacentral:rRNA from 1 species
UACGUAGGGUGCAAGCGUUGUCCGGAAUUAUUGGGCGUAAAGAGCUCGUAGGCGGUUUGUCGCGUCUGCUGUGAAAACCCGAGGCUCAACCUCGGGCCUGCAGUGGGUACGGGCAGACUAGAGUGCGGUAGGGGAGAUUGGAAUUCCUGGUGUAGCGGUGGAAAUGCGCAGAUAUCAGGAGGAACACCAAUGGCGAAGGCAGACUCGUGGGCGUA